rnacentral:rRNA from 1 species
GAUGAACGCUGGCGGCGUGCCUAAUACAUGCAAGUCGAGCGAACAGACGAGGAGCUUGCUCCUCUGACGUUAGCGGCGGACGGGUGAGUAACACGUGGAUAACCUACCUAUAAGACUGGGAUAACUUCGGGAAACCGGAGCUAAUACCGGAUAAUAUAUUGAACCGCAUGGUUCAAUAGUGAAAGACGGUUUUGCUGUCACUUAUAGAUGUAUCCGCGCCGCAUUAGCUAGUUGGUAAGGUAACGGCUUACCAAGGCAACGAUGCGUAGCCGACCUGAGAGGGUGAUCGGCCACACUGGAACUGAGACACGGUCCAGACUCCUACGGGAGGCAGCAGUAGGGAAUCUGCCGCAAUGGGCGAAAGCCUGACGGAGCAACGCCGCGUGAGUGAUGAAGGUCUUCGGAUCGUAAAACUCUGUUAUUAGGGAAGAACAAAUGUGUAAGUAACUAUGCACGUCUUGACGGUACCUAAUCAGAAAGCCACGGCUAACUACGUG